AGUGAACGCUGGCGGUAGGCCUAACACAUGCAAGUCGAACGGCAGCACAGUAAGAGCUUGCUCUUACGGGUGGCGAGUGGCGGACGGGUGAGGAAUACAUCGGAAUCUACUUUUUCGUGGGGGAUAACGUAGGGAAACUUACGCUAAUACAGCAUACGACCUACGGGUGAAAGCAGGGGAUCUUCGGACCUUGCGCGAUUGAAUGAGCCGAUGUCGGAUUAGCUAGUUGGCGGGGUAAAGGACCACCAAGGCGACGAUCCGUAGCUGGUCUGAGAGGACGAUCAGCCACACUGGAACUGAGACACGGUCCAGACUCCUACGGGAGGCAGCAGUGGGGAAUAUUGGACAAUGGGCGCAAGCCUGAUCCAGCCAUACCGCGUGGGUGAAGAAGGCCUUCGGGUUGUAAAGCCCUUUUGUUGGGAAAGAAAAGCAGCAGGUUAAUACCCCGCUGUUCUGACGGUACCCAAAGAAUAAGCACCGGCUAACUUCGUG
rnacentral:rRNA from 1 species